rnacentral:rRNA from 2 species
UUUUAUGAGAGUUUGAUCCUGGCUCAGGACGAACGCUGGCGGCGUGCCUAAUACAUGCAAGUCGAACGCUUCUUUUUCCACCGGAGCUUGCUCCACCGGAAAAAGAGGAGUGGCGAACGGGUGAGUAACACGUGGGUAACCUGCCCAUCAGAAGGGGAUAACACUUGGAAACAGGUGCUAAUACCGUAUAACAAUCGAAACCGCAUGGUUUUGAUUUGAAAGGCGCUUUCGGGUGUCGCUGAUGGA